AUUGAACGCUGGCGGCCGGCCUAACACAUGCAAGUCGAACGAGUGGCGGACGGGUGAGUAAUGUCUGGGAAACUGCCUGAUGGAGGGGGAUAACUACUGGAAACGGUAGCUAAUACCGCAUACCAUCAGAUGUGCCCAGAUGGGAUUAGCUUGUUGGUGGGGUAACGGCUCACCAAGGCGACGAUCCCUAGCUGGUCUGCGAGGAUGACCAGCCAACCUGGAACGGAGAAACGGGCCAGAACCCUACGGGAGGCAGCAGGGGGGAAUAUUGCACAAGGGGCGCAAGCCUGAUGCAGCCAUGCCGCGUGUAUGAAGAAGGCCUUCGGGUUGUAAAGUACUUUCAGCGGGGAGGCGGUACCCGCAGAAGAAGCACCGGCUAACUCCGUGCCAGCCGCCGCGGUAAUAC
rnacentral:rRNA from 1 species